AAUAUUGGACAAUGGGCGCAAGUCUGAUCCAGCCAUGCCGCGUGUGUGAAGAAGGCCUUAUGGUUGUAAAGCACUUUAAGCGAGGAGGAGGCUACUUUAUAUAAUACCUAGAGAUAGUGGACGCUACUCGCAGAAAAAGCACCGGCUAACUCUGUGCCAGCAGCCGCGGUAAUACAGAGGGUGCAAGCGUUAAUAGGAUUUACUGGGCGUACAGCGCGCGUAGGCGGCUAAUUAAGUCAAAUGUGAUAUCACCGAGCUUAACAAGGGAAUAACAUUCGAUACUGGUUAGCUAGAGUGUGGGAGAGGAUGGUAGAAUUACAGGUGUAGCGGUGAAAUGAGUAGUGAUCUGGAGGAGUACCGAUAGCGAAGGCAGCCAUCUGGCCUAACACUGACGCUGAGGUGCGAAAGCAUGGGGAGCAAACAGG
rnacentral:rRNA from 1 species